UGGGGGAUAUUGCACAAUGGGCGAAAGCCUGAUGCAGCGACGCCGCGUGGGGGAUGAAGGCCUUCGGGUUGUAAACUUCUUUUGCUCUGAACAAGGCGCACCAUGGGGUGUGUUGAGUGUAGGGGUUGAUUAGCGCCGGCUAACUACGUGCCAGCAGCCGCGGUAAUACGUAGGGCGCGAGCGUUGUCCGGAAUUAUUGGGCGUAAAGGGCUUGUAGGUGGCUGGUUGCGUCUGUCGUGAAAGCUCAUGGCUUAACUGUGGGUUUGCGGUGGGUACGGGCUGGCUUGAGUGCAGUAGGGGAGGCUGGAAUGCCUGGUGUAGCGGUGGAAUGCGCAGAUAUCAGGAGGAAUACCGGUGGCGAAGGCGGGUCUCUGGGCUGUUACUGACACUGAGGAGCGAAAGCAUGGGGAGCGAACAGG
rnacentral:rRNA from 1 species